UCAAAGAACAUCAUGGGGUUGAGCAGGAGGAAAGAGAUUCAGCCUUGUCUAGCCUCAGGCAAGGUCUGCCCUGAGAUCUCAGGCACACUAGAGAAUGACUUCACUUUUCUGACCUUCUCGAUGAACCGGCGCUGCUGUGAAGGGCAGAAGCGUGGUGGGCCUCUGGGCCCUUUGGGCCACAGAUACACAGCUGUGCUGGCUGGGAAGGCCUCAGCCCACUGUCUGAGUCCUGGUGGGGCUUUUCUGGGUCCCUAGGGCCUGGAGUGAGGGACACGACAUCCCAGAGACAACGAUGACCUUGGAAUUUGACCAUCUGGGUCCCUGUCCUAGAUUUACUGCUUCCUAGUUGGUAUCCUUUAAGCUCGUUGCUUAAACUCUGAGCUUUAGUUUCCUCCUCUGUAAAAUGAGGAAAUAUUGUUUUGUUAUGAAGAUCAAGUGACAUCACAUGUGAGAAAAAGGUUUAUCAACCAAAACAGGCUCUGCCAAUGAGUAACCAGUUCUAGCCAUUAGCAAAGGGGCUUGUGGGGCUUGGAGAUUUCUCUGGUCUGGGCCUUCCUGGGAGGGUGAAUGUCUGAAGCAGAAUUGGUUUAGACAGGACUUCAAACUCCUCCUCAAGCCCUGUGGCUGGUCCUUUGGCACCCUCAUGGCCUCCCUGUGGCAAGGCAUGAUGACGGAGCUCCAUGCCUGUGUCUUCAGGAGCAGACUCUGGCCCAAGUGCCUCAGCCCUGCUUUAGAGACCUGGAGAAAGCAGAAUUGUCACCUAGAUCUCCAGCAGCUCAUGGAGUCCGGAAUGAAAUCAGUCCUCCAAGUAAUAACCAAGUGGAAGUGGACUCAAAAUGCUGAGUGUUUGUGUGUCUUCGGGGGACUGUUUCUCUGUUUUCCAAAGCAGGUCUCCUGCCCGGCAGCAAAGACAAGGACUCCGGCUUCAGAGAGAGAAGCUGGGCUGGGACUGAGGGGCCCUGCUGGUGCUUCCCAGGGUCUCCUCCACCGAGGGCACUGUGUCCUCAGGUGCCAGGCACUGAACUAGGUGCUCUGUGUUCUUACUGCAUUUAAUCCUCCCACCACCUUUGCGAAAUAGCUGCUCUUAUAACCUUUGGUAGGUGAGUCAACUGAGGCUUAGAAAAGUUAAUUAAUGCGCCCAAUGUCACACAUCAACCAAUAUCAGAGCUAUAACCCAGGCCCAAGUCUGUUGGAAGUCAAAGCAUGUGGUUUUAAC
ensembl:lncRNA